rnacentral:rRNA from 1 species
AGUGAACGCUGGCGGUAGGCCUAACACAUGCAAGUCGAACGGCAGCACAGUAAGAGCUUGCUCUUACGGGUGGCGAGUGGCGGACGGGUGAGGAAUACAUCGGAAUCUACUUUUUCGUAGGGGAUAACGUAGGGAAACUUACGCUAAUACCGCAUACGACCUACGGGUGAAAGCAGGGGAUCUUCGGACCUUGCGCGAUUGAAUGAGCCGAUGUCGGAUUAGCUAGUUGGCGGGGUAAAGGCCCACCAAGGCGACGAUCCGUAGCUGGUCUGAGAGGAUGAUCAGCCACACUGGAACUGAGACACGGUCCAGACUCCUACGGGAGGCAGCAGUGGGGAAUACUGGACAAUGGGCGCAAGCCUGAUCCAGCCAUACCGCGUGGGUGAAGAAGGCCUUCGGGUUGUAAAGCCCUUUUGUUGGGAAAGAAAAGCAGCAGGUUAAUACCCCGCUGUUCUGACGGUACCCAAAGAAUAAGCACCGGCUAACUUCGUG